rnacentral:tRNA from 3 species
GGAGACGUGCCCGAGCGGCCGAAGGGAACGGUCUUGAAAACCGUCGUGGCAGCGAUGUCACCGUGGGUUCAAAUCCCACCGUCUCCG